GAAAUGCGAUAAGUAAUGUGAAUUGCAGAAUUCAGUGAAUCAUCGAAUCUUUGAACGCACCUUGCGCUCCUUGGUAUUCCUUGGAGCGUGCCUGUUUGAGUAUCAUGAAAUCUUCAAAGUAAAUCUUUUGUUAACUCAAUUGGUUUCUACUUUGGUAUUGGAGGUCUUUGCAGCUUCACACCUGCUCCUCUUUGUUCAUUAGCUGGAUCUCAGUGUUAUGCUUGGUUCCACUCGGCGUGAUAAGUUAUCUAUCGCUGAGGACACUGUAAAAGGUGGCCAAGGUAAAUGCAGAUGAACCGCUUCUAAUAGUCCAUUGACUUGGACAAUACUUUUAUGAUCUGAUCUCAAAUCAGGUAGGACUACCCGCUGAACUUAAGC
rnacentral:misc_RNA from 1 species